CGGAUUCGUUAACCACUGUGCCAUGACAGGAAUUCCUAGAACUUUUUUUUUAAGUGGAAGUAAAUGAGUGGCUGAUAAGAGCUUUCUGCUGGGCUGCAGGCCAGUUCCCAUGACAAAGCACACUCUGCAGUCUUUAGCUGGCCUCUCCAGUUUGCCUGAAGGAGAAUAUGAGACAAAGGAGACAAUUUAGGACAAAGGUCUCCUCUGCUGCCUCCACCUUCACAGCCAGAAGUCAGCGAUGGAGAAAAGCAUAAAACAGACUCGGGGAGAGGAACUUAAACUGGGACCACAAGUGAGGUCCCUACAACCAUCUUGGAUCCAGGACCGUCCUCCAGACGCCGGCACCACAAGGUCCAGAUCUACGGUGACCACUAGGAAUCUGCUCCUCGGAGAGUCCAUCUCCGUCAUCGAUUCUGGGUAACACCCACCUUUUCCUUGUGCUCUCUUGAGCGCACUCUUGACCUUGCAACUAAAUGAACUGAACUAGAGCGGGCAUGGCUCAUGCACAGUCUUAAAAACAAAAUUCUGACUGUAAAAUUCGAAGGAUCCUAAGGGUUUUCUAACUCAAAGCAUGCAUGGAUUCUGACAAUUAAACAACACUUGCAACACCCAAAGCUGCUUGUAUUUCACGGCAUCAAGACAGAGGACAAGCUAUGACCAGACCUAACCGAAGUGCUUGUAACUGUGCAAAAGAGGUGAUGCUCAGUCCAGAGCAACGCAAAGACCAACUAAGAUUAUCCCCAGGGCCUAAGCUCUGCUGUGAGGGUGUGACUGACAUACAGUUAGGGCAGAGACAGUGAACCUCUAAAUGUCACUUUGGAUAGACAUAAACCAGUCCCUCAUCAAAGGCUGCAUUUUGUAAAAGGGCACCCACUGAGCAGCUCUUGACCUACCAGAACAUUGGCCUUCACAGCAUCCUGACAGACACAGUAUAAAGAGUUCUGGACUAAAAUGAAAGAUCCUGGGAGUUCCCACUGCGGUGCAGUGGGUUAAGGAACCGGCAUUGGCACAGCUGUGGUUUAAGUUGCAUCUGUGGCUCAGAUUCCAUCUCUGACCUGGGAACUUCUAUAUGCCUCAGGUGCAGCCAAAAACAACCAAACAAAAAGAGUGAUCCUGGGUAAGACUCCCAGCUCUUCAUGUAGCAGCCAUGUGACUUGAACAAGCAACUUUAACUUUCUAAGCCACAUCCAUGCAACAAAAAGCAAGUACUAAAUAAAAGAUCAUCAAUGGAUAAACAACAAUAUACCAUAUAGCACAGGGAACAAUAUGUAUUCAAUAUCCUGUGAUAAACCAUAAAGGAAAAGAAUAUGAAAAAGAAUCUAUAAGUAUUAUGCCUGUGUUACUUUGCCGUACGGUAGAGAUUAACACAUCAUUGUGACUCAACUGUACUUCAGUAAAAUAUGUAAUAAAAAAAGAUCAAGAU